UCCGCUCUUAGCCUCUCUUAUUCCCAAUUUCUUUCUUCUUUUUUAGGGUGGAUAGAUUCUCCACUUAUUAUCCUUCAAUACAAAGCAAUCAUGGAAGGAGAGGCUUCAGUUGAGUGUCAAGAUUGGGAGCUCCUAGACAAAUCCAACGUCAACCUGACCAAUUCUGGCUAAUUUAUGUGGUGAUAGUCUAGCUUUUGGUGAUGUUGCGAAGAUGAUCGAGGGUUCUGAGUUUGUGGGUGACUAUAAGCUAAGCUACAUCAACCAUAGAUAGGUAUAAAUCCAAGUAUAAAGUUUGAUUGGUGUCACUCCCGAAGGGACUUCAACAUGUCCCCACUCUGCGCAAACUCCAAAUCGAAAGUUGUCCUAAUUUGAUAUCUUUACCAGAGUGGAUGGAAAGCGUCUCCGCAUUACAAUGUUUCUGUAUUAAAGGAUGUCCUCAACUAUCAGAAAGAUGCAAAAACAACAUGGGUGUUGAUUGGCCCAAGAUUGCUUAUAUCCCAAAUAUUAGUAUUGAUGGAAGAUGGAUUCAAGAGGAUGGCUGCUACCAACUAUGAUUUGAAGCAUCAGACUUCUCAUGGGAAUUGGUUGGAACUUUUAUCACCCAAUGCAUGUUUUGAGUGAGAUCUAGCGCUAGUUAAAGUUGGGUUAAGAUUGCAGUUGAUGAUCAAAUCUGACAAGCAUGCUCAAGGAAUUUGCUUUUGUAUUUUUCAAGUCUGGAAUGCAUGACUAUUACCCUCUCAAAUUGGUUAGCAUCUUAAGUGGCAAUAUGUUCUGCGAAAUUAUUAACCUGCAAAGAAAUGGAAGUGUUCCCAUAUAAGUUUGAGUGAGCUACGGAAAGUCAAAUGAGCAUUAUGCAACUCUUGUAUCUUUAAUUUUGGACUUUGGAAAUUGAUGAUGGCUCUGCUUGUUGAAAGAUUCCAAAGAAGAGCAAUUUGGGAUUGGCCUCUCAUAUGCCAGUGCCAGAAAGUCUUAGUUUAUUACUA